AUUGAUUAUGGACUCCAGAUUGCGGGAUAGCUAUUGGCAGACGAGAAAUCGCUCUUUAUGUUGUGCCCUAACUUCCAGCUCUAUAUCCCAUAUUUUCUCUCGGAGGUGCUGGCCGUUUUGUACCUUCAAUCGCGCGGCGAUUGCUUGCUUUGAGCGCCCGCCUUGGCGCUUAUACUGCUGGAGCCGAUGCCUCACGGAAACAGUACGGCUCUGCCAUACCACUGGGGUAGCCGGCUCGACGCGUGGAUCACCCGACAUGGGGUCGGAGUACAAAAUCAUUCUGGGAGCCUGCUAACUGUACGGAGAGACGUACUGCGUGCCGCAUCGCGAAGCAAUAUGCAGGGAGUCUACAGCGGCCAGAGCGACGUCCAGGCGCAAUCUACCCGCUCUUUGUCCCAGAGUGAACUGCGUAGCGGACGAGUUGCUGCUCAGAUAUCACUAAAGCACCUGCCAUUGGAGAGGUAGAUGAUUCACUAGCCUGGUAGACUCGAGCGGUUCGCGGGAGCGUCCGCCUAGAAGGUAACCUUUCGAAAAUGCCGAAAACCUUUCCCGUUUUCAGCGCGAACACUAUGCCACGCUCUACUGGAUGCCGAGAUCCUUCGCGCACUCGAGGAUCCCGAGCUCGUGUGUACUUUCUUUCGAUUAAGAAAUCGAGGAUCCCUGGUUCACUGAAAUGUUAUGUCGAUCAAAACAAAUUGUGUGCAGGCAGACCUGACGAUCAUCGAAUGUGACCUUGGAUUUUUUUACGGUGCAAGAUCGUCAAGACUGACCGGGAAACCCCAAGGGUGCGAGCGUUGUAGGAAGCCGCCCCCAUGGCUGGAGGCACUGCAACGCCACGCUGAGACCGUGCAACGUACGCGGUGCGCUGGGCAUCUGGAGAUUCACCGGGCCAAUCGAGUUUCCGUUCCUGAGGAAAAGUCCUGUCUGAUAUGUUUGUGUCGACGGCAGCAUCUGCAGUCGACAUCCGGGAAUGUCUCGUGCCUCCAGAGCGUUCGGUGGCUUUACGUUAAGCGGACGUUCGAGGGAAUCGUUUAACAGUCAUUGUGAGCGUUGUGCUGAAACGCUGAAUGCUAUCGAAGUAAACAAUCAGCGGUCAGGACAGAGGGGAUCGGUUACUCGCUGGAGCAAAGCACAAAGGUUGUACGGCAAACACAAUGCAGCAAAUCUAGAGCACGGUUGAAACUUGUACCUGGAAUCAUUCCCCCUGGAGAUUCAUGCGCGAUAAGCGUGUUCUAUGAGCUGAUACUGCUGAGUAUAUCGAUCAGCAAAAACGAGAUCGCUGCAGCGCUUCACCGUAUUUGACAAUUUUCUAUCAGCCCUGGUCUUGUCCGUCUGUGCGGAUUCUACUUUGGAUCCAGCGAGCUGCGAGACGACUUGCGUCUAUGCCAGCGCCGGCUUUCCCUAUGAUGCACAAUCGACAACGCUUACAAGAAUCCCCGGGAUGCGCAGUUGACCUGGACGCCGUGGAGACACUCCCGCUCCGAUCUAAGCACGUUCGGGUUCCAGUCACAUCGGACUAGUAUUCGCGUUGGCAUAACGGAUUGCACAGUCGAGCGAACCACCAGAUGCCAAGCCUACCGCAGGUACGUACCGGUACCCAGGAUGCACCGUUGCCGCAGCACUGCCUCUGCAUAAGAACAAGACGCCUCCGCGAGUGCCUGUGCCACGGCGUUGCGCGACGGUGGUGAUCGGAUCUCAAACUGGCGGCGCCUACGGCAAGCGCUCAUGCUGGUGCUGCGUUCUAAGGAACUUUAUACUGUGUGCGUACAGCUUGCAAACUUUGGACUAGAGGAGUUGACGCACGGAUGCUUUUCGGAAAAACCAGCCAAACACUGGCGUUCGCGGGUCUCUUUUCAACUGCUUACAAAGCUGCUGGCACUUGUGGAAGGUUUUGUCGCCGCGACGCUGCGGCCGAGGGCUUGUCUGCGCGUGUGGCGAGGGGUCAGCAGCUGGUGCACAGAAGGCGCCGAGUCCCUGGGCAGCGUUUUUCCGCGCUGCUCGACGGUCCCAUGGUGGACGCAUUUUCACAGGGACAAUUACAUCAUCACGCGGACUUGCAACUUUACGUUAUACGCACCAUGCUCUUAGGGGUGCUCGGGGUCAUCGGAAUGCGGAUCCACCGACCGCCGUUUCCGAUACUGAAUAACCGUACGCCACGUUGGCGACGCGCAGCGGAGGCGCGGAGGAUUCGCUUUCUUCGAGCUAAAAGUCGCGGCCCUUUCUUUGCUGACGUAGCAGACCGUCUCCCGAAACGACUUCGACCGCUGGUUCAAGAAGAGAUACCAGAAGAGCUCCAGGUCCGUCAAAGGCACACUCCGGCGAAGCGGACGGUCGCAAACGAUAGCUAAAGACAACUCCACGGAGUCUGUGAGCUGGAACAAGUUACACUCAUUCGAACCGGUACCCCUAACCCCAGCUUUACCUUGGACGAAGCUGAAAUGAGUGUUGGGCCGAACGGCGCUUCUGGCCAGUGCCACGGAGACGCUACUGACGCCACUUGUUCGACACAGAGCUGUCGUCGGAGGCACGCUCCCACCAGGUCGCUGUCUGCAUCCCUCGCCGCAAGAAACCAAAUGACCCACCAUCUUUCUCGUUCUGUUGUGGAAAUACGGCCUUCGUUAGGGCAUCCUUGGCCUCUGUGAGUCUCGGCCGUGUGGCAUACUGUGCAACCUGCCGAUAACGAUUCUCUUGGGUCUCGAGAAGCACCUGGUAUGGCUCUGGAUAUACCCUAAAUAUUGCGCCUUGAUAGUUGACAACAAAUGGAGGUCGCGAAAUCGACCUCGAGUACGAGCGCGUUCGCAAGUAGUAGACGGGCAAGAAUCGACAUAGAAAGCGGUGAUGGAGCAUCCGAGACGGAAACGCAGGCAAGCCCAGAUCACCACGUGAUGUAUCCAGCUGCAUAUUGAAUAGAAUGACGGGUCGCUGGUCGCCUCUCGUUUUGUCCGUUUCUUCGAGACGUUGCACGAACUUUUCCACGUCCACGAGCUCCUGCGCCGAGGCGCCAAGAACGAUAAAAAUAUCGUCAUCAUCCAAA